CUACACAUGCAGUCGAGCGGUAGCACAGAGAGCUUGCUCUCGGGUGACGAGCGGCGGACGGGUGAGUAAUGUCUGGGAAACUGCCUGAUGGAGGGGGAUAACUACUGGAAACGGUAGCUAAUACCGCAUAACGUCGCAAGACCAAAGUGGGGGACCUUCGGGCCUCAUGCCAUCAGAUGUGCCCAGAUGGGAUUAGCUAGUAGGUGGGGUAACGGCUCACCUAGGCGACGAUCCCUAGCUGGUCUGAGAGGAUGACCAGCCACACUGGAACUGAGACACGGUCCAGACUCCUACGGGAGGCAGCAGUGGGGAAUAUUGCACAAUGGGCGCAAGCCUGAUGCAGCCAUGCCGCGUGUAUGAAGAAGGCCUUCGGGUUGUAAAGUACUUUCAGCGGGGAGGAAGGCGAUAAGGUUAAUAACCUUGUCGAUUGACGUUACCCGCAGAAGAAGCACCGGCUAACUCCGUGCCAGCAGCCGCGGUAAUACGGAGGGUGCAAGCGUUAAUCGGAAUUACUGGGCGUAAAGCGCACGCAGGCGGUCUGUCAAGUCGGAUGUGAAAUCCCCGGGCUCAACCUGGGAACUGCAUUCGAAACUGGCAGGCUAGAGUCUUGUAGAGGGGGGUAGAAUUCCAGGUGUAGCGGUGAAAUGCGUAGAGAUCUGGAGGAAUACCGGUGGCGAAGGCGGCCCCCUGGACAAAGACUGACGCUCAGGUGCGAAAGCGUGGGGAGCAAACAGGAUUAGAUACCCUGGUAGUCCACGCCGUAAACGAUGUCGAUUUGGAGGUUGUGCCCUUGAGGCGUGGCUUCCGGAGCUAACGCGUUAAAUCGACCGCCUGGGGAGUACGGCCGCAAGGUUAAAACUCAAAUGAAUUGACGGGGGCCCGCACAAGCGGUGGAGCAUGUGGUUUAAUUCGAUGCAACGCGAAGAACCUUACCUGGUCUUGACAUCCACAGAACUUUCCAGAGAUGGAUUGGUGCCUUCGGGAACUGUGAGACAGGUGCUGCAUGGCUGUCGUCAGCUCGUGUUGUGAAAUGUUGGGUUAAGUCCCGCAACGAGCGCAACCCUUAUCCUUUGUUGCCAGCGGUUCGGCCGGGAACUCAAAGGAGACUGCCAGUGAUAAACUGGAGGAAGGUGGGGAUGACGUCAAGUCAUCAUGGCCCUUACGACCAGGGCUACACACGUGCUACAAUGGCAUAUACAAAGAGAAGCGACCUCGCGAGAGCAAGCGGACCUCAUAAAGUAUGUCGUAGUCCGGAUUGGAGUCUGCAACUCGACUCCAUGAAGUCGGAAUCGCUAGUAAUCGUAGAUCAGAAUGCUACGGUGAAUACGUUCCCGGGCCUUGUACACACCGCCCGUCACACCAUGGGAGUGGGUUGCAAAAGAAGUAGGUAGCUUAACCUUCGGGAGGGCGCU
rnacentral:rRNA from 1 species